rnacentral:rRNA from 1 species
UACGUAGGGGGCAAGCGUUGUCCGGAAUCAUUGGGCGUAAAGCGCGUGUAGGCGGUCCGGUAAGUCCGCUGUGAAAGUCCAGGGCUCAACCCUGGGAUGCCGGUCGAUACUGCCGGACUAGAGUUCGGAAGAGGCGAGUGGAAUUCCCGGUGUAGCGGUGAAAUGCGCAGAUAUCGGGAGGAACACCUAUGGCGAAGGCAGCUCGCUGGGACGUUACUGACGCUGAGACGCGAAAGCGUGGGGAGCAAACAGG